UACGUAGGGGGCGAGCGUUGUCCGGAUUCAUUGGGCGUAAAGAGCUCGUAGGCGGCUUGCUAAGUCGGGUGUGAAACCCCCAGCUCAACCUGGGGUCGCCAUCUGAUACUGGUAUGGCUGGAGUCCGGUGAGGGAUGCCAUGGGAAUUCCUGGUGUAGCGGUGAAAUGCGCAGAUAUCAGGAGGAACACCGAUGGCGAAGGCAGUGGUCUGGGCCGGUACUGACGCUGAGGAGCGAAAGCGUGGGGAGCGAACAGG
rnacentral:rRNA from 1 species